rnacentral:rRNA from 1 species
GACGAACGCUGGCGGCGUGCUUAACACAUGCAAGUCGAACGAAGUGGCGAACGGGUGAGUAACGCGUAAUCAACCUGCCCUUCAGAGGGGGACAACAGUUGGAAACGACUGCUAAUACCGCAUACUGAAGGAGGGGAUUGCGUCGGUUUAGCUAGUUGGCGGGGUAACGGCCCACCAAGGCGAUGAUCAGUAGCCGGUCUGAGAGGAUGAACGGCCACAUUGGGACUGAGAACCGGCCCAGAGUCCUACGGGAGGCGGCAGUGGGGAAUCUUCCGCAAGGGACGGAAGUCUGAGGGAGCAAGGCCGCGGGAGGAAUGAGGGCCUUCGGGUUGGAAAGCUAUGUUAAUCGGGACGCGGUACCGGAAUAGAAAGCAACGGCUAACUACGUGCCAGCAGCCGCGGUAAUAC